CCCCUUUUUGGACGACUCCUUUUCCAUUUUCGUUCUUCAAUUUUCUUGUGAUCUCAAAAAUCUUUUGAUGGGGAGAUUAUUUGUGUUGACUCUUGAAGGCAAGAUCUACAGCUGCAAGCACUGUGGAACUCAUCUUGCCCUUUCUGAGAACAUUGUUUCCAAGUCUUUCCACUGCAGACAUGGGAAGGCUUAUCUCUUCAGUAAGGUGGUGAAUGUCACUUCUGGCGAGAUAGAAGAUAGAGUGAUGAUGACUGGUAUGCACACUGUGGCAGACAUUUUCUGCGUCUGUUGUGGGUCAAUUGUUGGAUGGAAAUAUGAGACCGCCCAUGAGAAGAGCCAAAAGUACAAAGAAGGAAAAUCAGUGCUUGAGCGGUUUAAGAUUUGUGGCCCUGAUGGAAGCCAUUACUGGGCUAGUCAUGAUACUCAUGUUGUAGGAAGUGAUGCUGAUGAUGUUUGAUCACCAUCCAGAACAAAAAUUCUAUCCCAAAAUUGGACUGAGGAGAAAAGGGGUUUGGCGGGAAGAGGAGUAUAACAUGAAAUAAGUAAGGAGGUCAACCUCUUUCAAAUAUACAACAUGGAUUAUGGCAAUGUAGUUGGACUCUCAUGUUGAUCCACAUAAAUCAGCCUUUCCACGGAAGUAAAUCUUUGUCUGCUUGGCAAGAGGAUAGCGUUUAAAAGAGUUGAUCAUAAAAAAUGAAACAAAGGGAGUAACAUCUUAUUGGGCCCGGGGCAGAGGCAGAGACAGCCUCUAAUGGGGAGUAUUAGGAGUUGAUGAGGAACUAUCAUUGUUUCUAGAAAUGCAAAGAAGGGAAAAUGACAGAAAUAAUAAUCGAUUUCUUCAAAAAUCCAACGAAUUUGAUCCCCUUGGAUCAAAAAGUGGUAGUACACCUGCAUUUAAUAUUGCAUCAGUUGCACCCCUGCGGAAGACUCGUACUGAUGAGUUCCUUAGUGCUGACAAUGAUAAAACUGAUUACGACUGAGAUGAAAUCACGUGAAACUAUGAUGAGUCAGCUGGGAACUUCUAGAGCUCACCCUACUGCAUUGACAUCUAGAUUAACAAAUUCUCUCCCAGAGGCCACCUCAAGAAGCAACUUGCAUCUAGACAGCUAGCUUCCUCUCCUGGAUCAAACACUUCAAGUUCUAGUCUUCGAAGGCCAUCUUCUUCAGGUGGAUAUGGCUAUUAGACAUAUGGUAUGUACAUUCUUUU